AGAUGAGAUGAAGGAGGCCAAUAGAAGUUAAGAGAUCUUCCCAAGGUUAUAAACAGACAAACCUGGAAUAGAAGCCAGCCUGGAACUCGAAGCUGCUUCUAACAAAAGCCUCCCUGCUUCACCUGUGAAACUGCAUUUGCUGGAUCACCAGUGACCUCGUCUUGAUAACUGUAACAUCCACAUCUUCCUGUCCCGGUCACAUUGGCUGUUUGCUAUUGAAUAUCGCCUGGCUUUCUCAGAUCUUCCUUCCUCCUGACGUCUUUGUGAGGGUGUUGGUACUGGCUCAGGGGGUUCACAGCUAAGAGUUUGCUUUUAGUCUCAGAGAAGAUUUUGGACUUAGACUUUUCAGCCAUGUGAAACUGUCACAACUUUGGUGAUGCGAGAUGGACUAAAUGCAUUUUGCAUAAAGAAAUACACACGAGUCUUUUGGGGCUCAGGGAUGGAAUGUUAUGGUUUAGAUCUAAAAUGGCUCCAAAAGUUUCAUGUGUUUGGAAGGUGAUCAGAUUAUGAAGGUACUAUACCUGAUUUGCUCUUAGGAGUUGGGAUCCGGUUGGAAGAGGCCCAUCACUGAGGGUGACCUGGAAGAGCAUAUCUCUACUCCUGGUUCCUCCCUUUUCUCUUUGGUUCCUGGCAGCUGUGACAUGAGCAGCUUUCCUCCACCCAGGCCCUUCUACUGUGCUGUCUUCUGCAUCUGGACCUGCCAACCAUGGACUGAAGCCUCUAAAAGCUGUGAGCCAAAAUAAACCUCUCCUUUAAGUUGUGAGGGUCAAGUAUUGUGUCUCAGCGAUGAGAAAGUACGAUAGGGUGGCCACAUUCAUGUCCUGGAACAUAUAUAUUCAUUAAAAGCAUUGAUUCUCAACCCUGGGUUAUCAUUAGAAUCAUCAGAAGAGAUUCUAAAAAUUUUAAGCCAGAGACUGUCCAUUUCCAAGAUUCUAAUUUAAUCAGUCUGAAUUAGUUUGCAAUUUAUGGGACUCUAGAUAUUCAGGAAAGAUAGAAAACUUGAGUUCUUAUUGCUGCACAAUGUCAACCUGCGUCUUCCUAUGAAACAUACUGCUAGUAAUCUUUUAUAUUAGCAAAAGAUAUUCCAAUUUUCAGUUGGACACAUGGCUACCUGAAAUAAAAACUGUGUCUUUCAAU
ensembl:lncRNA